GGCAAAGUUCCCAGCUUACAGGAGCAGGGGGUCCCACACCAUCUUGGUGUGGUACAACCCUCUGGGUAAAAAACAACUGUAGCGCACCCACAGACAUUCAUUACCUUCCCCACAGAUGUACCGUUUCUCCUCAUAGCUGGUAUCAGUAAACUCCAGAAGCAUGCGGAUAGCAUGAGCCAGCUAAAAGCAGGGGAUGGAGAAAGACCCCGGUCAGCGCGCCUGCGCAGUGCCCACUUGCUCGCAGGCCCCCUCCGUCAAUGUCCCCAACCCAACGCUGCCAAGCUCCUGCGUCCUGUCCAGGGAAAUUGUCCUUAGGCAGCCCCUUCGCUCACGCCCGGGAACUUCCAGUACCUUAUUCCUCUACCCACAGUCCUGGGGACCCCAUAGGUAGGCUGGAGAUCGGCCCACCGGCCCCUGACCCCCGCCCGGCCGCCUGCACCUCUCUGUCCCAGAGGCUGGGCUGGCGAGGGACCACUCACCCCGCGGAUAUCCCAGUAACCCAGAACCAUAGACUUGGAUGACAUUUUGGGCGAUCUUAGCCCCUUCGGGGAUACAGCGAUGGACUGUGGGCGGCUAACUUUAUACUGGACGCUGUGGGCCGGGCUGACGCGACCGAACUGUCUCCUCCUCUCUCGCUCUAUGCUCCACCCGCCCUCCGCGUGGUCAGUGGGCGGUGCGCAGGCGCAGCUGCUGCGGCUCCUGAAAUCCUCCGGUGUGAACUUCUCCCAGGGCUGUUGAUGCUUCAUCUACUCUUCUGGCAGUGGGGGCCUGGACCUUAGUUACCCGGGAAGCGUGAGUCAUGUUGCACAGUUGAGCUGGCACAUAAAACUACGAGGUGUUCUGCCCAGUUUAUAGAACAAGGAAUUGAAGCUUGGAGAAGAUUGAUGGACCACUCAAGUUCCCUGGAUGGUCCAGGAUGCAGACUGAGGAUGGCCUAAAACAUUAGUUUUGCUGGCUCCCUGUGCUUGGCUAACUUUAGAGCCUCUUACCUUGCCACAGUCUUUUCUAUGAAGGACAGAGAGCCAAGGAGUGGACCAACAUGCCUGAGUUUACACAGUGGACCUGAGGACCGUCACCUCCCAGUGCAAUGUUCCUGUGUACUGCCACUGAAGAGACAGGUGGGAGGGAGCUCAAGGUUGACUUGCCUAACAACCAUUGCUUGAAAGACAAAGCUCCCAAGGAGAGCACAAAAUACCUCACUCGAGACUCCUCUGCAUCACCAACCAGUGUGAAGAAAGCCUGCAGCUGUCAGCAGAGUAUUCUUUGUCUCGGUGACACGCUGUGCCUACAGUUGGACUAGAAACUUUGGAUUAGGGUGUGAGUCGUGCCCCAUAGGACAGAGGUGGUGCAUGUAGCCUCAUUUUGGAGUUUAUUUAGAGAGGAGAAAGAAUGUACCAUAGUCCCCAAAGGCUCUAGGUUACAGUGAAUUCUCUUUAGUUCAGUUAUAGUUUAGUUUAGCUUGGUUUGGUUAGCUGUGGUUCCGUUCUGUUCCGUUCUGUUCUGUUCGGUUCAGUUCGGUUCAGUUGCAGAGUUGUUGCUCUUUCAUGCUUUGCAUCCCAACUCCCUGCUCUCUCUUGGCUUUGGUUCCCAUCAGGUCCAGAAUAAAUGGCAAGGAGAGGGUCAUAGAACAAGUUAAACGAUGCUUUUUAUUGGCAGGAUUGGGACUAAAGAGAUCAGGAGUAAGACUGGGAAUAAGUAUGCCAACUUAGGGUGUGGGGUAAAAUAAAUAGUAACCGGUGAGGGUCUCCAACCCAAUGAGGUACCAUUUGCCUCAGUGUCUGGACCUGUUCAUCUUCUUUGCUUUGUGAUCCAGGAUAUGUGGCUUGCCACUAACUGAAAGAGGACUUCCAGGGGCUCUAACUGGGUACCAAAUACUCCAUCUUGCACAUGAGAGGUCCUUGGUCUUAGAGGUAUUCGAGCUGGUCUCUAAUGAGUCAUCUGAAGGGAGAAAACAAUUCAGAUGGGGCUGGUUCCUAGUGAGGGACUCCCCAGAGUUUAUAUCACCAAUGCGAUUAGAACUUCAAGACACACCUGAACGGAUGGAGCUGAGUCCCCAGAGGAAUAGCCCAUGCCUAGUGUCCCCAGCUCUCCCUUUCUCACCCCAGGAGAAUUAAAUUCCUCUGAAUAGGAGUCAGGAUCCCAGAGCUUCCUCACCCCCAGCAUCCUUCUGACAGCGUCCAGCCGGGCCUGGAUCCGUGGAGCCUCCUGUGGACACAGCAUCUGCAGCUCCCCAGGUCUCAUGUGAAGUAGCUGGCUUCCCAUUAGGGACCCGAGGGUCCUUACAGUGCUGUAAAUAACAAUGGUAGAAUCCACCAGAAGUAGGGUGGGCAGAUUCUAGGUCUUAGUAUUUGUGUAGAGAAGGAAAGUUGGGGUUACAGGAAUUAGGUAUCUGCAGGUACAGGGAUACACCUAGUGGUUUGGUCUCAGUGAACCACAGAACUCCGAGAUUUGAGGGCAGAAACACUUUAAAAAAGACUGGUCUGGAAGGGAAGGGUGGCUAAGGUGGGCAGCCCAAGUUCUUCCAGAAUUUGCUACCCUUGACUCUUUCUCUUUCACUACAUAUGGCCUCUGCACUGGGUGACCUACCCUAGGCUCAGACAAGCAGCUUUCAUUCAGCAGAGAAAGCCUAAGAUGGAGUCAUCAAGUACAGUGGAAGCUAGGUCACACUCUCUAACUCUGAGAGUGAAUGGAGCCUGUGGUUCUCCCAUUUACAGGGCUCACCGCCCCUCAUCCCCCAGGGGACUGGUCACUCACACAGUGGAGAAGUUCUCUGCUUGUAGCCAGGCUGUGACCUCCUCAGGCUUUGAGCUCAGGCGAAGCAUUGGGGCCUGGAAUCAAGGAGCACUAGAAGUCAGAGGUCAUCCCAUCUUACAAACAUACACAGCCUCCUGUAUUGGGUCCCUUCUACUGAGAUCCCAUCAGGAUGCUUAUCUCACCUUCUGGUUUCCUAGUUCGGCAGGGACGCUCACCUAAUCUUUGUUCAGACCCUAUAAUGAACUUGGCACCGAGGAAGCAUGCAAUGAUAUUGAUUAAACUGAACUAAGAUUGUCUCUGUUUGUCACCUAAUCCUCCCUACUACCACUUCUGACUUCUGACUUAGGACUCAGGGCUUCUGGGUACCCCAGCGUGGGAAGUACCCUAAAGGAUGGUUGUCGGUGGCCUCUCGGGGCUCCAGCUGGCAGGGGCUCCAGGAUAUUGCUGGGAAUGUAACCAGUCAGUCCUGCUUCGUUCUUCACCAGCCACCAUCGCUUGCUCUGAUCCAGAACCUACCGAGAAUCACCACAUUAGCCCCCAGAGCCUCCAUCCUCCCAUCCCCUCUGCCCCCAAGACCGUGUCUUUCCCCGCCUGACCUUUCCCACUUUCCUUCUCUAUCUGUAAGCCACCCACUCCAGGCUAAUUGUACUUCCCACCCAUUGCCUCUUUUUUGGCUUCAAGCAUGGGCCUCACCUCCAGAAUCUCCCCCUGUGCCACAGUCAGUUCCUGGGCAUUCCUUGCUUCAAACUCGUACAGGACUUGCAUUUUCAGGGCUGCUCUGCCAGGGCUGGGGCUGGAGAGUGGGAGGUUUGAGUCCUCGUAUUCAGGGUUAUGGUUGUAUGGCUCAUCCCGAGGGAAAUGUAGGCUGCUCCUCAUCCUAGAACCUCUGACAUGAGAGACAGAUUCAGGAUGGAUGGAGAAUAGGAAUUGUGCCCCCGGCCAAUGGUCUCUGGGAUUCACAGGUGCAAAGGUUCUGUCCUGACCCUCCCUCCCUGGGACCUCGAGAAUCCACUAAGCAUGUGACUGACAUACCGGAGGGAAAUCGAAUCCUGGUUUGUUAUGGGCAUCUGUAAGCAAGAAAACCAGAAUGAGUUAGAAUGGGAGGCAGCCAGCACAGUGGCAGGGAGGGGCUAACUAACCAGCCCAGUACAGGCCUGCAACAGCUGCCUUUUGUCCAUUGCUCACCUCCCCAACAGGUACCCAUAUAACCCACCUCGUAGUUGUGAUUUUGAUCUGGACUGGAAAUGCUUUUCAUAGAUCUCAGAGCUAAGCAACCCUUACCAUGGAGCGGGGCUGUGGAAUCUGCCAGCCAUCGUAGAAUGUGGGUUGGUAGGGUGGCGGUUCACUGCCUGUCCAGUCAGCCCUGAGGGGAGAGCAAAGCUGAGUCUAGGGCCACUGUGUAGCAGCCUGUAGGAUGUGGAAAGGGAGAAGAUGAGAAGACCUAGCCUCAGGGAUGUGUGGCUAACGGGGAUGUGGUGCGUGUGUAUACAGAUGAAAAGCUACAGGAAACCCACAAAGGAGCAAAUGGUUUCACAGGAACAUGUCUAACAGUGUAAGCAUCAGUGGGCAGCCUCAUCUUGAUUCCUAAGUACAGCUAUGUUGCCUCCCUAGAAUUAAAGUAAUUUAAUCUGGAGUAUUGGGGCUGGAAGACCCCUUUGGAGACUUGCAAAAACUGACCCUACCCCUUCUUAUUUAUUUGUUUAUUUAUUUAUAUUGAAAUAGAUUUUUUCAUACAAUAUAUUCUGAUUAUGGCUUCUUCUCCCCCAGCUUCUCCCAGAUCUUUCCCUAUCCCCACCCACCCAAAUUCACGCUCUUCCUUCCUUCCUUCCUUCCUUCCUUCCUUCCUUCCUUCCUUCCUUCCUUCCUUCCUUUACAAAUAGGCAUCUUAAAAAAUCAAAAUAAAAUAAAAUUAGAUAAAACAAAAACAAACAAUAAUAGGACAUAAACAAAUAGGAGGAAAAGAGCCAAAGAAAAGGCUCUGGAAAAGCAAAUAGAUGCAGUGACACACAUUGCCACGCACACUCCAGUGAAGUCUGCUUGACAGGCUGAGAGGCCUGGGAGCACUCACGAGGCAGAGAGUUUCAAAAGGAACUCACCUCCUGGAGCUUUGGCGUUCUCAUUAACCUGUACACUCAUACCCUAUCCCCGAGUUAGUCUAGUGUAUGGAUCCACGUGCUCUCUUUUAGUAUUAUUUUAUUAUAAGUGUCUUUUAAGAUUGAAUUCUGACAUAGCUAAAGCCUCCCACCAGUGUUCCAAUGUUCCAGAAGCCAACAAGCUUGGAAUCUGGUGGGAAUGCAGUAAUAAAGUUACCUAUUCAGUAACUAAUUAAGCAUUCCAAAAGACAGAGCCAGCAGCUCAGGGCUGGUCUGCAGAGUGUUUACUAAGGACAGUAGCCAGUCUCACCCAAACAAGGGAAUGCCAUGAAAGAGCUAGGGAAUCCCACUGAGACAGGGAUCUUCUCUACAGCCAGGUGUAGCAGGCUUUAUUACAUAUUAGAAGCAAGUUGGUAAAUUCUUCUGACAAAUGGAGAUUCUACACAGAUACUUAAAAGAACAGCCAAGAUACAAGAAUUUACUAAGGCCUAGGAAAUAGGGGGGUUGUGGUAUUGCAUUAUUCGUGAGAAGGUCUGCUAGAGCAGAACUCCCUGGUACUAGCCUUCACAAGGCUCAAAGGAGUAGCACAAAUUCUGACUAGGGUGUGAAAUCCUUAGCUGUCAUUAGCUAACCCUAGGCAGGACUGCUUUAUCAUUACUGUAAACAUUUACCUGGUUCCUGUAAGUCCCUUUGAAGUCAUUCCUUUGUUUUGUGUCAGGGAACUUCAAUGUACUUUGCCUGCUGUGACUUCCUACCCCUUUUAUUUUCUGUACUAUAUAAGACUGGUGUUCACUUUGUGACAAUACAUUCAGAUUUUUACCCAAUCUCCUGUGUGCAUCUGUUUGUCAUUUCCGCCAACUCUUUGCCCACCUGCAACCAGAGACCCAUUCCACGCAGACAAAGGGACCCAGAGGGUCUGUGGCAACAGAUGUGCACAUAGAUGCAGUGACACACAUGUGUACAUAGAUGCAGUGACACACAUGUGCACACAUACAGAAAUCCCAUAAAACCACAAAACUGGAAACCAUAAUACAUAUACAAAGGACUUGUAAGGAAGAGGAGAAAGAGA
rnacentral:lncRNA from 1 species